GCAGUCGAGCGGUAAGGCCCUUCGGGGUACACGAGCGGCGAACGGGUGAGUAACACGUGGGUGACCUGCCCUCCACUCUGGGAUAAGCCUGGGAAACUGGGUCUAAUACCGGAUAUGACCACAUGUCGCAUGGUGUGUGGUGGAAAGCUUUAUGUGGUGGGGGAUGGGCCCGCGGCCUAUCAGCUUGUUGGUGGGGUGAAGGCCUACCAAGGCGACGACGGGUAGCCGGCCUGAGAGGGCGAUCGGCCACACUGGGACUGAGACACGGCCCAGACUCCUACGGGAGGCAGCAGUGGGGAAUAUUGCACAAUGGGCGAAAGCCUGAUGCAGCGACGCCGCGUGAGGGAUGACGGCCUUCGGGUUGUAAACCUCUUUCGCCUACGACGAAGCGCAAGUGACGGUAGUAGGAGAAGAAGCACCGGCCAACUACGUGCCAGCAGCCGCGGUAAUACGUAGGGUGCGAGCGUUGUCCGGAAUUACUGGGCGUAAAGAGCUCGUAGGCGGUUCAUCGCGUCGACUGUGAAAUCCCAUGGCUCAACUGUGGGCGUGCAGUCGAUACGGGUGGACUUGAGUACUGCAGGGGAGACUGGAAUUCCUGGUGUAGCGGUGAAAUGCGCAGAUAUCAGGAGGAACACCGGUGGCGAAGGCGGGUCUCUGGGCAGUAACUGACGCUGAGGAGCGAAAGCGUGGGUAGCAAACAGGAUUAGAUACCCUGGUAGUCCACGCCGUAAACGGUGGGUGCUAGGUGUGGGUUUCCUUCCACGGGAUCCGUGCCGUAGCUAACGC
rnacentral:rRNA from 1 species